rnacentral:rRNA from 1 species
AUUGAACGCUGGCGGCAUGCCUAACACAUGCAAGUCGAACGGCAGCACGGCAGUAGCAAUACUGUGGGUGGCGAGUGGCGGACGGGUGAGGAAUACGUCGGAAUCUGCCCAGUCGUGGGGGAUAACUAGCCGAAAGGUUAGCUAAUACCGCAUACGACCGAGAGGUGAAAGCGGGGGACCGCAAGGCCUCGCGCGAUUGGAUGAGCCGACGUCGGAUUAGCUAGUUGGUGGGUAAAGGCCCACCAAGGCGACGAUCCGUAGCUGGUCUGAGAGGAUGAUCAGCCACACUGGAACUGAGACACGGUCCAGACUCCUACGGGAGGCAGCAGUGGGGAAUAUUGGACAAUGGGCGCAAGCCUGAUCCAGCAAUGCGCGUGUGUGAGAAGGCCUCGGUGUAAG